CCUCCUCUCUGGGACUGAGCUGUAAGGAACAGACCUCUCUGGCUAUCGUUGGGGAGUGAGGCAAAGUUACCGUAUCCGCCCCCAGAUCAUGAACGGCCCC
rnacentral:sRNA from 1 species